rnacentral:rRNA from 1 species
GUCGGACGGUAGCACAGAGGAGCUUGCUCCUUGGGUGACGAGUGGCGGACGGGUGAGUAAUGUCUGGGGAUCUGCCCGAUAGAGGGGGAUAACCACUGGAAACGGUGGCUAAUACCGCAUAACGUCGCAAGACCAAAGAGGGGGACCUUCGGGCCUCUCACUAUCGGAUGAACCCAGAUGGGAUUAGCUAGUAGGCGGGGUAAUGGCCCACCUAGGCGACGAUCCCUAGCUGGUCUGAGAGGAUGACCAGCCACACUGGAACUGAGACACGGUCCAGACUCCUACGGGAGGCAGCAGUGGGGAAUAUUGCACAAUGGGCGCAAGCCUGAUGCAGCCAUGCCGCGUGUAUGAAGAAGGCCUUCGGGUUGUAAAGUACUUUCAGCGGGGAGGAAGGCGAUGGGGUUAAUAACCUUGUCGAUUGACGUUACCCGCAGAAGAAGCACCGGCUAACUCCGUGCCAGCAGCCGCGGUAAUACGGAGGGUGCAAGCGUUAAUCGGAAUUACUGGGCGUAAAGCGCACGCAGGCGGUCUGUUAAGUCAGAUGUGAAAUCCCCGGGCUUAACCUGGGAACUGCAUUUGAAACUGGCAGGCUUGAGUCUUGUAGAGGGGGGUAGAAUUCCAGGUGUAGCGGUGAAAUGCGUAGAGAUCUGGAGGAAUACCGGUGGCGAAGGCGGCCCCCUGGACAAAGACUGACGCUCAGGUGCGAAAGCGUGGGGAGCAAACAGGAUUAGAUACUCCUGGUAGUCCACGCCGUAAACGAUGUCGACUUGGAGGUUGUUCCCUUGAGGAGUGGCUUCCGGAGCUAACGCGUUAAGUCCGACCGCCUGGGGAGUACGGCCGCAAGGUUAAAACUCAAAAU